rnacentral:rRNA from 1 species
GGCGAACGCUGGCGGCGUGCCUAAUACAUGCAAGUCGAGCGGACCGGAUUGGGGCUUGCCUUGAUUCGGUCAGCGGCGGACGGGUGAGUAACACGUGGGCAACCUGCCCGCAAGACCGGGAUAACUCCGGGAAACCGGAGCUAAUACCGGAUAACACCGAAGACCGCAUGGUCUUCGGUUGAAAGGCGGCCUUUGGGCUGUCACUUGCGGAUGGGCCCGCGGCGCAUUAGCUAGUUGGUGAGGUAACGGCUCACCAAGGCGACGAUGCGUAGCCGGCCUGAGAGGGUGACCGGCCACACUGGGACUGAGACACGGCCCAGACUCCUACGGGAGGCAGCAGUAGGGAAUCUUCCGCAAUGGGCGAAAGCCUGACGGAGCGACGCCGCGUGAGCGAAGAAGGCCGUCGGGUCGUAAAGCUCUGUUGUGAGGGACGAAGGAGCGUCGUUCGAAGAGGGCGGCGCGGUGACGGUACCUCACGAGAAAGCCCCGGCUAACUACGUG